rnacentral:rRNA from 1 species
GGCGUAAGAGCGCGCAGGCGGUCGUUCAAGUCGAGUGUGAAAGCCCCCGGCUCAACUGGGGAGGGUCACUCGAUACUGAUCGACUCGAAGGCAGGAGAGGGAAGCGGAAUUCCCGGUGUAGUGGUGAAAUGCGUAGAUAUCGGGAGGAACACCAGUGGCGAAGGCGGCUUCCUGGCCUGUUCUUGACGCUGAGGCGCGAAAGCUAGGGGAGCAAACGGGAUUAGAUACCCCGGUAGUCCUAGCCGUAAACGAUGGGCACUAGGUGUUGGUGGUAUCAACCCCACCAGUGCCGAAGCUAACGCAUUAAGUGUCCCGCCUGGGGAGUACGGCCGCAAGGCUAAAACUCAAAGGAAUUGACGGGGCCCCGCACAAGCAGCGGAGCGUGGGGUUUAAUUCGAUGCAACGCGAAGAACCUUACCAGGGCUUGACAUGACCAGGAAUUCGGCGGAAACGUCGGCGUCCCGCAAGGGACCUGGCCACAGGUGUUGCAUGGCUGUCGUCAGCUCGUGUCGUGAGAUGUUGGGUUAAGUCCCGCAACGAGCGCAACCCCUAUCGUGUGUUGUAUCACUCACACGAGACUGCCGAGAGAAACUCGGAGGAAGGCGGGGAUGACGUCAAGUCAGCAUGGCCCUUACGUCCUGGGCUACACCCACGCUACAAUGGCCGGUACAACGGGCGGCGAAACCGCGAGGUGGAGCGAAUCCCUUAAAGCCGGUCUCAGUUCGGAUUGUAGGCUGCAACUCGCCUACAUGAAGCCGGAGUUGCUAGUAACCGCCGGUCAGCAUACGGCGGUGAAUAUGUUCCCGGGGCUUGUACACACCGCCCGUCACGUCAUGAAAGCUGGCAACACCCGAAGCCGG